rnacentral:rRNA from 1 species
UACGUAGGGUGCGAGCGUUAAUCGGAAUUACUGGGCGUAAAGGGUGCGCAGGCGGCGUCGCAAGUCAGGCGUGAAAUCCCCGGGCUUAACCUGGGAAUUGCAUUUGUGACUGCACGGCUAGAGUGUGUCAGAGGGGGGGGUAGAAUUCCACGUGUAGCAGUGAAAUGCGUAGAGAUGUGGAGGAAUACCGAUGGCGAAGGCAGCCCCCUGGGAUAACACUGACGCUCAUGCACGAAAGCGUGGGGAGCAAACAGG